AGAAAGAGGCAGACGAGGAAAAAAGACUUUCUUUUUCUUUCUAGAGGAAUUCUGCCCAGACCCAGCAGCAGUUGGUAGCAAGCAAGCUUUCUCCUGGGUGUCUCCUGGAAAAGUUGCAAAAUUGCUCUUCACCUAAGAGAAGACUUGGGGUUCAGAGCCGCCCCCCCUCUCCUGCAGUGGAAAUGGACUUCCCUCGGGUCCAGUACAGGACUUCCCACACAGGCGGGUGGGUGAGUGCCCUUGGCGUUGCCCUCAUUGAUCCGGCUGGACACCAGAAACAGAUAAUCUGGUGAGCAGCUGAGGCACAGACUACCUGGGCUCCCACUUAGAGGCUGAUAUAGGACUGAAGAAGCAGCUGCUCUGUCAAACCUAGAGAUCUUGAACCUGAGGGCUGUGGACAUAUUCUUUGUAUCUUCCCUGCAGCUUGGCACCAGGGCCCCACCCAUGGCAUUGAAGUUCCCAGGCUAGGGGUUGAAUUGGAGCUGCAGCUGCCAGCCUACACCACAGCCACAGCAAUGAUGGAUCCUUAACCCACUGAGCAAGGCCAGGGAUAGAACCCAUGUCCUCAUGGAUAUCAGUUGGUUUGUUAUUGCUGAGUUGCAGUGGGAACUCCCCUGCUUUUAAUUUUUUUGGGUAUAAACCUAGGUGUGGAAUCGCUGUAUCAUAUGCUACUUCUAUGUUUAACUCUUUGGGAAACCACCAAAAUGUUCUCUAUAGCAGCUGCAUCAUUUUAUAGUCUCACCAGCAAUCCAUGAAAGUUUUAAUUUCUCCACGUCCUCACCAACACUUUUUUUCAGUCUUUUUAAAAUUAUAGCCAUCCUAAUAGAUGUGAUGUGGUAGCUCAUUAUGAUUUUACCUGAUUUUUUUCCUAGCCUUUAACAUUAUAUGUUGUCUUGUUAUUUUUUUCUUCGUGUGGUUUGCUAGUCUGGAAAUCCGUGAAGGCAGGACCACUUCUGUAUGUUCAAUUCUAUAUUUUCAGCAUCCAAAACCAUUCCUGUCACAUGCAGACAUUCUGUUGAAAAAGUAAAUGCACGGAUGGUGUCCUGGAAGCACUCUAUGAUUAUCCCUGGUAAUUUGCUUGUCCUAAGAUCAAUGCUUAAACAACAGCACAUGAACUAGAUAACAACUCCACAGUUAUUUGUAUCAGGCAUCAGAAAAAUCUUUCUGGGAGCCUUGAAACGAUGGACACCACUAUCUUAGGACUUCUAAAAGUGAAGACCAAACACAAUUUAAAUAAAAAGAUAUGUCAUAAAAGACGUACAUCAACCUCAGUAAUUAGAAUUGGAAUUCAAAGUGAAUCAAUUAAAAAAUUUCACAAAGCCUGCAUGGAAAACUGCACACUGCCCCUUUUUCAAGCUGUCCAACACUUAGGUUGCUUUGUUUCAAGUAGAAAUGGAGUGAAAAUAUGGCAGUGGGAGGAGCUACGGCACGGAAACCCAAGUCAGAAAUUGCUAACUACUGAGUCAAGCUGGUUGAUAAGAAAGCCACAGGUGCUGUACAACUUUCUGUUUAUAACCAUAGGAAGAAAAAAAUUUCAUCUCUUAAACUGAAACCUGAACAUUACUGACUCAUUCAGAACAAUGUGUGAUCUUAACACAUGGCUUCUGUGCGUUUUAUAAACACACAAUUUCACAACUGAAAGCUUUCGGGGAUUCCAUUUGCUAUGCUGAGAGACUCCCUGGAUGGAGGGGUCCUGGAAAUGCCUGAGGAACUCCAAGCAAACAGGAAGUGUGGGCAGCGCUGCACCGUGAAGAAUUGCAAAGCACAGUGCCGCGUCUAUCACAGCCGCCCACCUGGGCACCACCCAACUUUGCACGAUCUGUUUGCUCAUGUUGCAAACACAAACAAAAUCGUGUAUAUUGUGUAGUCCACAGUUGUUCCUGGUCACUCUCUGGGUUACUAAGCCAAAUUGCAUAAUGUUUAUAUUUUGAAAUCACAAACUUGUACCUCGGAAGGGCUCAUAGAGCAUUUUAAUAAAUGGUCAGAGUAACGCCCGUAAAGGAAGUAGAGGAAGGAAUUGAUGGGCUCCUGACCAUCAAAGAAGAUAGGAGACACACUUGAAGGCAGCUCUCCCAGCCAGAAUAGAUUUACCUGAAGCUAAUGGGGCUGCACAUGUUGUAACCGCUUUAGAACACCCAGCCUGCACGGGGCCUUCCACGGGCAAGAGAGGGAGGAGCUAUUUUUUGAAAGUGCCUGUUGUUUUUUCCUAAAGAGGCUCCCAAAUGUAUGUGCUUCAGCCCUCCAAAACUUGAAUCCACGCAGCCUCUGCUUUCUCUAGCCUUUCUCUGAAAUUAUGGAAAAUUCUUUUAUUAACCAUUUCAUAUAGAAAAACACUGGCAGAUACAGCGAUUUUUUGGGGGGCACCUUUAUGGGGCCUAGCACAGAGCCCUCCACAUUGCUGGGCUCACUGUUCAUUUGAUAUAAAACAUUAAAUAAGUAAAAACAAAGCAUAUUGCUCGUGUGUGUGUGUGUGUGUGUGUGUGUGUGUGUGUGUGUCUGAUACUCAUCUUGAAUGUUUGGCUUUAGAUGUUCAAGGUUUACCAAAAAAUGAAAACAUCAGUUUUACUCCAAAGACCUGUGUGGGAGUAAAUGAACGUUUAUCUAUGAGGACCAAUGAAAAGGGACUGAGGGAGAGCCCUGAGCUUUUGUUGGAAGACUCUGGGCAAGGGCUAAUAAAAUAAUUUCCUAUCUGUUCUUGUUAUUUAGCAUACAUACCUUUAUAUUUUGUUUUAUUCAUUAGCAAACUGAAAAUCUGUGACUUUUAGAGUGAGCUAUUAUAUAUUUCUACUCAAAUACCGCUUCAAUUAAAAUAGAUUUGCACAAA
rnacentral:lncRNA from 1 species